AGGGUAUCACUCACUGAAUACAUAGGUGUGUGAGGCGAACGCGGCGAACUGAAACAUCUAAGUAGCUGCAGGAAAAUAAAUCAACCGAGAUUCCCAAAGUAGUGGCGAGCGAAAUGGGAAGAGCCUGUACGUGAUAGUCGGACUGAUAGUGGAAGCCUCUGGAAAUAGGCGCCAUAGUGGGUGAUAGCCCCGUACACGAAAUCAGACCGGUGGUACUAAGCGUACGACAAGUAGGGCGGGACACGAG
rnacentral:rRNA from 1 species